CUUACAAAUCUAUAACAUUACACGUACAAUGGACAACGAUUUACAAAUAAAAUACCCCAACUCGACAGAAAAAGUGAGAAAAUGUGUAAAUGAAAAAAGUGCAUGCCUCAUUAGAGAACGAAAAAAUCAGAUUACAGAACACGUAGUUACGAACCCUGAUAUCAGGCCAGGCUUAUACCGUGUGUCACACUGCUCAUUCUGUUUUAUUUAACCGGUGCAUGUAUGCAUUUCUUACGGAAAAUAAAAAGGUUUCUUUACAAGCUCAUACAUAACAUUGCAUCCUUUUAACUUCCAGCCGGAAGAGAAUAACAAGAGUGGAUUUUGUGCCGUUUUUAAUUUGAUUUGACGUUUACUCGCAAACAGCAAUGUCGAAAGGAAGCGGUAGCGAUAAUGACGCCGAAUUGGUGCAUCAUCUCGAGGCGACGGUGUCAAGUCUUCGACAGGAAGUGAAAAUCCUGAAGGAAUCCAUCGACAAAGUUGACGAAGCUAAUCGAGAAGGUCUUUGGCUCUGCUUCAUUUCCAUUGUCGUUCUGGCAAUCAUGUUUGCCUGCACGGUGUUCUACGUCUGGUAUCAAACUGGCGGAUCAGCCCACCUUCCAUGGAGUUGGAGAAAGUCCGAAUUAUAAUGGUACGACUAUAACAACACCGUAAAAUUGGCAAAUGUCGCAAAUAAUAGUUCCACAUUUGACGACGAGGACGACGACCCCGAUUCUUCUCACAAUAAUCUCCUUCUCUCAUAUUUAUUCAUAAAUUGAUGAUUAAUUUGUUCGUAAUUUAACAAUUUUUUAAUUUAAUUAACAAUUUUUUUGUAUCAUAAUAAAACACUAGUAAAUAUUUAAUAUGUCUAAUUUUUAGACCCUAUAAUUUCAUGAGUAUUUUUUGUUAACAACCUCGUAAAUAGUACUCGGCGAGUAUUUAUUUGAGCAAAAACUCUUAAACUUUCGACCCUAAUCGACUAUCUGAUACCAAAUUAAAGUAACGUCCCGACUUUUGUAUUUCUGACUGUUUCUCACGCGGAUAUUUGUAACCCAGUAAAAUUCUCAGACUUGCAAAUGUUUCCGCAAGAUUACAAAGAUUACAAAGCUUACAAAUCAACCAUGAACUAACACAUAUUAAGAGCUUCGAUUAUUUAGUGAAAAGGGAAAUUUUGCGAAUUAAGUUUACGGUUUACAAACUUUGAAUCUUAGAUCCAAUUCACGCAGGCCUUGGUAACUACGUAAAAUCCGUAAACUUACAAACUCUUUCAAAAUUUUCCAAGGAAAAUUAGCUUACGAAUUUUUAGAUCUUUUUAUUUUGUAAAAGUGUGUAACGUUUUUUCUCAAAAUUUACGGAUUUUACAAAGUUACCAAAAAAUUCGUAAAUUACCUCUUUAUAAAAUUCAACUGGAAUUUCUCCAAAAACUUUGCUCUUCAUAUGCGAAAUUUCCUUCGUAAUCUUUGUAAUCUUGUAUGCACAACCAUUUAUAAGUUUACUAAGGUUAUACGGUUACAAAUAUCUGCAUCAAUAUUUAAUAUACAAUUUCAUAAAUGUCAUUUAUGUAUAUAACUUCUAAAAAUUUGGGCCUGCAUAAAUUUCUAUAAAAAUUGUUUUCGAAAGUAUAUAUACACAUCUAGAAAAGUUUCUGUCCGGUUAAUUCAAUAAUAAGUUCGUAUUCUUGUCUAUGUACGUAUGAUAAAUAAAUAAAUUUGUACUCAUCCAUUACAU